rnacentral:rRNA from 1 species
GAUGAACGCUGGCGGCGUGCCUAAUACAUGCAAGUCGAGCGAACGGACGAGAAGCUUGCUUCUCUGACGUUAGCGGCGGACGGGCGAGUAACACGUGGAUAACCUACCUAUAAGACUGGGAUAACUUCGGGAAACCGUAGCUAAUACCGGAUAAUAUUUUGAACCGCAUGGUUCAAAAGUGAAAGACGGUCUUGCUGUCACUUAUAGAUGGAUCCGCGCUGCAUUAGCUAGUUGGUAAGGUAACGGCUUACCAAGGCAACGAUGCAUAGCCGACCUGAGAGGGUGAUCGGCCACACUGGAACUGAGACACGGUCCUGACUCCUACGGGAGGCAGCAGUAGGGAAUCGUACGCAAUGGGCGAGAGCCUGACGGAGCAACGCCGCGUGAGUGAUGAAAGUCUUCGGAUCGUAAAACUCUGUUAUUAGGGGAGAACAUAUGUGUAAUUAACUGUACACAUCGUGACGGUACCUAGUAAGAAAGCCACGGCUAACUACGUG